rnacentral:rRNA from 1 species
UUAGUGGCGAACGGGUGAGUAACACGUGAGUAACCUGCCCUUGACUCUGGGAUAAGCGCUAGAAAUGGCGUCUAAUACCGGAUACGAGCUUCAGCCGCAUGGCUAGGAGUUGGAAAGAAUUUUGGUCAAGGAUGGACUCGCGGCCUAUCAGCUAGUUGGUGAGGUAAUGGCUCACCAAGGCGACGACGGGUAGCCGGCCUGAGAGGGUGACCGGCCACACUGGGACUGAGACACGGCCCAGACUCCUACGGGAGGCAGCAGUGGGGAAUAUUGCACAAUGGGCGAAAGCCUGAUGCAGCAACGCCGCGUGAGGGAUGACGGCCUUCGGGUUGUAAACCUCUUUUAGUAGGGAAGAAGCGAAAGUGACGGUACCUGCAGAAAAAGCACCGGCUAACUACGUGCCAGCAGCCGCGGUAAUACGUAGGGUGCAAGCGUUGUCCGGAAUUAUUGGGCGUAAAGAGCUCGUAGGCGGUUUGUCGCGUCUGCUGUGAAAUCUGGGGGCUCAACCCCCAGCCUGCAGUGGGUACGGGCAGACUAGAGUGCGGUAGGGGAGAUUGGAAUUCCUGGUGUAGCGGUGGAAUGCGCAGAUAUCAGGAGGAACACCGAUGGCGAAGGCAGAUCUCUGGGCCGUAACUGACGCUGAGGAGCGAAAGCAUGGGGAGCGAACAGGAUUAGAUACCCUGGUAGUCCAUGCCGUAAA